rnacentral:rRNA from 1 species
AGUGAACGCUGGCGGUAGGCCUAACACAUGCAAGUCGAACGGCAGCACAGUAAGAGCUUGCUAUUACGGGUGGCGAGUGGCGGAUGGGUGAGGAAUACACCGGAAUCUACUUUUUCGUGGGGGAUAACGAAGGGAAACUUACGCUAAUACCGGAUACGACCUACGGGUGAAAGCAGGGGAUUUUUGGAUCUUGCGCGAUUGAAUGAGCCGAUGUCGGAUUGGCUAGUUGGCGGGGUAAAAGCGCAGCAAGGCGACGAUCCGUAGCUGGUCUGAGAGGAUGUUCCGCCACACUGGAACUGUGACGCGGUCCUGACUCCUACGGGCGGCAGCGGUGGCGAAUGUUGGACAAUGGGCGCAAGCCUGAUCCAGCCAUACCGCGUGGGUGCAGAAGGCCUUCGGGUUGUAAAGCCCUUUUGUUGGGAAAGAAAAGCAGCAGGUUAAUCCCCCGCUGUUCUGACGGUACCCAAAGAAUAAGCACCGGCUAACUUCGUG